AGAGUUUGAUCAUGGCUCAGGACGAACGCUGACGGUGUGCUUUAGGCAUGCAAGUCGAACGAGAAAACCCUUCGGGGUGAGUAAAGUGGCGAACGGGUGAGUAACACGUGGGCAACCUGCCCCUCGCAGGGGGACAACCGGAGGAAACUCCGGCUAAUACCCCGUACGCUUGUUGGAUCGCAUGGUUCGGCAAGGAAAGGUAGCUUCGGCCAUCCGGCGAGGGAUGGGCCCGCGUUGCAUUAGCUAGUUGGUGGGGUAACGGCCUACCAAGGCGACGAUGCGUAGCUGGUCUGAGAGGAUGAUCAGCCACACUGGGACUGAGACACGGCCCAGACUCCUACGGGAGGCAGCAGCCAGGAAUCUUGGGCAAUGGGCGAAAGCCUGACCCAGCAACACCGUGUGGGCGACGAAGGCCUUAGGGUCGUAAAGCCCUGUUGAUAGGGACGAAGGGCGAAGGGUUAAUAGCCCCUAGCUUGACGGUACCUUUCGAGGAAGCCCCGGCUAACUACGUGCCAGCAGCCGCGGUAAUACGUAGGGGGCGAGCGUUGUCCGGAAUUAUUGGGCGUAAAGAGCGUGUAGGCGGUUCGGUAAGUCUGCUGUGAAAUCCUGGGGCUCAACCCUGGGCGUGCAGCGGAUACUGCCGGGCUAGAGGGUGGUAGAGGCGAGUGGAAUUCCGAGUGUAGCGGUGAAAUGCGCAGAUAUUCGGAGGAACACCAGUAGCGAAGGCGGCUCGCUGGGCCACACCUGACGCUGAGACGCGAAAGCGUGGGGAGCGAACAGGAUUAGAUACCCUAGUAGUCC
rnacentral:rRNA from 1 species